rnacentral:rRNA from 2 species
GACGGAGGAUGCAAGUGUUAUCCGGAAUCACUGGGCGUAAAGCGUCUGUAGGUGGUUUAAAAAGUCCACUGUUAAAGAUUGAAGCUUAACUUCAAAAAUGCCGUGGAAACUUUUAAACUUGAGUAUGAUAGGGGUAGAGGGAAUUUCCAGUGGAGCGGUGAAAUGCGUAGAUAUUGGAAAGACCACCAAUGGCGAAGGCACUCUACUGGGCCAUUACUGACACUGAGAGACGAAAGCUAGGGGAGCAAAUGGG